AACGAACGCUGGCGGCGUGCCUAACACAUGCAAGUCGAACGAGAAAGGGGCUUCGGCCCUGAGUAAAGUGGCGCACGGGUGAGUAACACGUGGGUAACCUGCCUCUAAGAUUGGGAUAACCUGUCGAAAGACGAGCUAAUACCAAAUAAGACCACAGUUCUCUCGGGGACAGAGGUCAAAGGUAGCCUCUAUUUAUAAGCUAUCGCUCAGAGAUGGGCCUGCGCACCAUAGCUAGUUGGUAGGGUAAUGGCCUACCAAGGCAAAGAUGGUUAGCUGGUCUGAGAGGAUGAUCAGCCACACUGGAACUGAGACACGGUCCAGACUCCUACGGGAGGCAGCAGUGGGAAUAUUGCGCAAUGGGCGAAAGCCUGACGCAGCAACGCCGCGUGAGUGAUGAAGGCC
rnacentral:rRNA from 1 species